rnacentral:rRNA from 1 species
GACGAACGCUGGCGGCGUGCCUAAUACAUGCAAGUCGAAAGCAGUGGGGACGGGUGAGGAACACGUGGGUAACCUCCCAUCAGAGGGGAUAACACUUGGAAACAGGUGCUAAACCGAUACUGAUGGAUGAACCCGCGGUGCAUUAGCUAGUUGGUGAGGUAACGGCUCACCAAGGCCACGAUGCAUAGCGGACCGGAGAGGGGGAGCGGCCACACUGGGACUGAGACACGGCCCAGACUCCUACGUGAGGCAGCAGUAGGGAAUCUUCGGCAAUGGACGAAAGUCGGACCGCGCAACGCCGCGUGAGUGAAGAAGGUCUUCGGAUCGUAAGAGUCUGUUGUUUGUGAAGCGGUAUCUAACCAGAACGCCACGGGUAACCUCAUGCCAGCAGCCGCGGUAAUUC